UACGGAGGAUGCAAUCGUUAUCCGGAUUCAUUGGGUUUAAAGGGUGCGCAGGUUGUUUGAUAAGUCAGUGGUGAAAGUCUGUCGCUUAACGGUAGGAUUGCCAUUGAUACUGUUGGACUUGAAUAUGGAUGAGGUAGGCGGAAUGUGUAGUGUAGCGGUGAAAUGCAUAGAUAUUACACAGAACACCGAUUGCGAAGGCAGCUUACUAAUCCAUCAUUGACGCUGAGGCACGAAAGCGUGGGGAUCAAA
rnacentral:rRNA from 1 species